UCUCCGUUGGUGAACCAGCGGAGGGAUCAUUACCGAGUUUACAACUCCCAAACCCCUGUGAACAUACCAUUUGUUGCCUCGGCGGUGCCUGCCUCGGCAGCCCGCCAGAGGACCCAGACCCUUGAUUUUAUACAGUAUCUUCUGAGUAAAUGAUUAAAUAAAUCAAAACUUUCAACAACGGAUCUCUUGGUUCUG
rnacentral:misc_RNA from 1 species